rnacentral:lncRNA from 1 species
UCCUUUCGGUCUGGCUUGGCAUACGGUUUAGUCUCUUUUUCACUAAUUAUCUUGGCAGCAUCUUCGUAGGGUUAUUCUUUAGAUGCAUUUUUGCUUCCCUCUAUAUCGGUGCAUUCGAGGCAAGCCCCAAAUCCCAAGAACCUUAAUGGACAAAGGCUGGGCCAGCGACCAUAUCUAGUUAAGGAGGAUAGGGAUCAGCCUUCUUCAUGACACAUGGUCCCAAUGUGUGUGCAGAAAAGCAAAGAUAGGAGGUAGUAUGCUUAC